GAUCAUGGCUCAGAUUGAACGCUAGCGGGAUGCCUUACACAUGCAAGUCGAACGGCAGCACGGACUUCGGUCUGGUGGCGAGUGGCGAACGGGUGAGUAAUGUAUCGGAACGUGCCCAGUAGCGGGGGAUAACUACGCGAAAGCGUAGCUAAUACCGCAUACGCCUACGGGGAAAGCAGGGGAUCGCAAGACCUUGCACUAUUGGAGCGGCCGAUAUCGGAUUAGCUAGUUGGUGGGGUAACGG
rnacentral:rRNA from 1 species